UACAGAGGUCCCAAGCGUUGUUCGGAUUCAUUGGGCGUAAAGGGCUCGUAGGUGGCCAACUAAGUCAGACGUGAAAUCCCUCAGCUUAACUGGGGAACUGCGUCUGAUACUGGAUGGCUUGAGUUUGGGAGAGGGAUGCGGAAUUCCAGGUGUAGCGGUGAAAUGCGUAGAUAUCUGGAGGAACACCGGUGGCGAAGGCGGCAUCCUGGACCAACACUGACACUGAUGAGCGAAAGCCAGGGGAGCAAACGGG
rnacentral:rRNA from 1 species